CUUGCUUGGCCACUUGGUGCUCCUGGAGGUCACCAAAAGCUCUACUUUGGAUCUCACUUCUGACAUCAUCUGUUAAAAGGGAAACCUUAGCCAAAUUAAAUUUUAUAGAGUUUAAUUGACCAAAGAAUUAUUCAUGAAUCAGGCAGCCUUCCAAGUAGGCUCAGAGACUCCAGUGAAGCCAAGAGAUAGAAGAUGAUUGAAGGACAGAAAAAGGAAAAUGAUAUAUAGAAAACGGAAAUGAGGAGCUGAUCUUUAUUCUCAGAAGAUGCAGACUUAAGUAUUUAAGAGCAAAGCACCAUGAUGUCCGCAAUUUACAACCAAAUUGUAAAGCAUAGAUAGAUAGAGAAUAAAUAUGACAAUACUUUGACAAUUUUAUUGAGCUAUACAACCUCUGAUUGUGGCAGAUGCUUAACAGAUAUUGCUCAAUUGCUUUCUAAAGAUGUUCACCCAGCACACCUCCACCAGCAACGUCUGAUUGCAUUAUUCUCCUUGCAUUGAACUGUUUAUGAAUGUAAAAUAAAAUCUUGUUCAUUUCAUUUUCUUGUCAACUAAUACAUCUAACCAUCUUUUUGUAUGUUUGGUGGCCAUUUGGAUUUGCUCAUCUGUAAAUUUUCUUUUCAUAUUCUUUACGCAUUCUGCUAUGGGAUUGUUCAGACUUACCACUUUGUGAAAAACACCAUAUCUCUUACAGAUAUGGCUUCAUUUUCUGUAAUAUAAACCUAGCAUUUAUCUGCUGACUUUAUGUAAUUUUUCACUCUACAGGAAAUGAUUUUCAUCUUAAAAAUAUUUUAUAAUAUUGAUAC
rnacentral:lncRNA from 10 species